GGCAUGACCUGCAGAAACCCAGAGUUAUAAAAGGGCUGCUGUCAAGUUGUUAUCAAGGACGCUGUGUCCUCUGUAGUUCCAUUACAAGAAACCCUUGGCCAACCUUUCCAGUGGUGCAAUUGUGCAGCAUUCCACCUAGGGUCUUUAAAAGCAGAGAUGCUCCAGUAGGUCGGGACAUCCUCC
rnacentral:lncRNA from 1 species